CUCUGGCAUAACAUUAUAAGACAGGCAAAAAAAUCAAAAUAUUUAAUCCCAAAACAUGUUUCUCUGCCAUAUCUUGAAAAUGUCCCUGCAAAGCCAUCCUUUGUAGGGUGAAAACCUGCAUCUGUAAAGAAUCUCUAUUAACAUAGCUAGAUCUUUUUCUUCCAGGUCCUCCCAAUCCUGAAGAGAUUAGCUAAAGUCUAGUACCUUUUAAAGAUCCGAAUAGGAAAUAUUUUUCAUCUAUUGUCUCUGAGGGCAGCUACUAUAAGACUUCAAAAGAACCUUGGUCUCCACAAUCUUUUACCUUAACCUGGACAUUUCCUUUCUGUGGAUCCUAGGUCCUUAGAUAAACUCAACCAAUUGUCACCAGAAAAUGUUUAAAUUUACCUAUAGCCUGGAAGUACCUCCCUGCCCCUACUGUCCCCUUCCCCGCCUCCUGCCUUUGAGUUGUCCUGCCUUUCUGAACCAAACCAAUGUAUUUCUUAAAUGUAUUUGAUCGAAGUCUCAUACCUCCCUAAAAUGUAUAAAACCAAGCUGUGCCCUGAUCACCUUGGGCACAUGUUCUCAGGACCUCCCGAGGGCUGUGCCACGGGCCACGGUCACUCAUAUUUGGCUCAGAAUAAAUCUCUUCAAAUAUUUUACAGUGUUUGACUCUUCAACAAUAAUCUGGUGCCCAAACACGUGGGGCCACAGAGAAGACUCAGGACCCUGAAGGAGUUGCCUAAAACCCUAGCUAAGGUACUAGCAGGGGCCCAGUGAAACCUCACCAAGUUCUAGCUUCUCCUCUGGUGAAACUGAUUGUGAAAACAGAAAAGGAGAAUGGCUAUGCCCUCAAACUACCUGGAACCCUGAUUCUUCUCAAACUUGGCCUCUAAUAUCCAACGGGACAUAACAUCUGGUAUACGGGGAAGGGCCGCUUCUGUUGGGAGGGACAAAAAAACAACAUUGUAGAAUUAUAUGACUUCUCCUGUAACAAAACUUCCUUUUCUCUUCCAAAUACCAGUAUAUGGUGCAAUACAAAAGUGGUUGGAAAAAUAGAUUUGUCCACUGUUAACAAGUCCUGUGACAAUUUAGACAUUGAGGACCAGGCGUUCCUUGCAUUUGAUUUAUACCCUCCUCAGGAUGUUAUAUCUAUGGAGACAAAUUGGCCAGAAGAGACAUUAAAUGUAUUGGAUUCUGAUUUAGUGUCAGUCCUACAAUCCUCAAAUAAGAUCUAUCAUAGGGUUCAAAUGACCCUUGAUAAGGAGGCUAAUCACAUUGUGAGUCUAAUCAAAGAAUAUGAUAAAGCAUGCAGUGGUUUUUUUGGCUGGUCAGGUUGUUUACUGCCCUCUGACUCUACCUAUAACCUUGGAUGCCUAAUCUUUGCUAUCUUUAUGGUGUUUGUCACUGUAUUAGGAUUAUAUAUCUCUUGUAAAUGUUAUGCCAGAUAUAGCAAAAGGAAAAGGCACAAUUAAAGAACUGGAUCAUGGUAGCUCACAAAAUAAAUAUGACCUGGGAUUUUUUUUUUAGACUAAACCCUAGGCCUGACUCCAUCUCACCCCUUAAACUAUUGGCUAUUACAUCAGGUUAGACUGUGUCCUCUCCCAGUGAUCCAAAUCACAGGUAUUUAAAACUACUGCUACCAACCAGACUACUCUAGGAAUGAGCCUUCCUAGUGCUGUGGGACCUUGCCAAAUGACCAAAUCAGACAACUCUAGGAAUGAGCCUUCUUAGCGCUGUGGGACCUGCUGCUGUUAGUUGGCCUGCAUAUGCAUUCUGAGGAAUGCUUUUUGGCCAAGAGGGGAGACCGAGGACAAAGCUCUCAUUUUUUUAUCUUGCCCAAAUUCCUUUCAAAGGAGUCUUGGGAGUCACGCCCUACAAACCAUGAAUUCUCAUCAGAUGGGUUUUAUUUAACCCUAUAUAUUGUGACUUAAAUUCCAAUCUGACUCUGGCAUAACAUUAUGAGACAAGGAAAAACCUAAAAAAUAUUUAACCCCAAGACAUGUUUCCCUGCCAUAUCUUGAAAACAGCCCUGCAGGCCAGGUGCAGUGGCUCAUGCCUGUAAUCCCAGCACUUUGAGAGGCCGAGGCAGGUGAUCACUUAAGGUCAGAAGUUCGAGACCAGCCUGGCCAACAUGGCAAGAUCCCAUCUUUACUAAAAAUACAAAAAUUAGCCGGAUGUGGUAGCGCGCUUGUAAUCCCAGCUACUCGGGAGGCUGAGGCAGGAGAAUCACUUGAACCCGGGGGGCUUAGGUUGCAACGAGCCAAGAUCACGCCACUGCACUCCAGCCUGGGCAACAGAGUGAGACUCGACU
rnacentral:lncRNA from 1 species